CCUACGGGCGGCAGCAGUGAGGAAUAUUGGUCAAUGGACGAGAGUCUGAACCAGCCAAGUCGCGUGCAGGAUGACUGCCCUCCGGGUUGUAAACCUCUUUUGUCUGGGAGUAAAACGGUCCACGUGUGCUUCCUUUUGUGUACCCUCUGAAAAAGCAUCGGCUAACUCCGUGCCAGCCGCCGCGGUAAUACGGGGGAUGCGAGCGUUAUCCGGAUUUAUUGGGUUUAAAGGGUGCGCAGGCGGAGGUUUAUGUCAGCGGUAAAAUUGGGGGUCUCAACCCGGUAUUGCCGUUGAAACUGGAUGCCGUGAGUGCACGAGAAGUAGGCGGAAUGCGUGGUGUAGCGGUGAAAUGCAUAGAUAUCACGAAGAACUCCGAUUGCGAAGGCAGCUGACCGGCGUGCAACUGACGCUCAGGCACGAAAGUGUGGGUAUCAAACAGGAUUAGAUACCCCAGUAGUC
rnacentral:rRNA from 1 species